rnacentral:rRNA from 1 species
UUACCUACCCUUGACAUGUACGGAAUUCCGCUGAGAGGUGGAAGUGCCCGAAAGGGAGCCGUAACACAGGUGCUGCAUGGCUGUCGUCAGCUCGUGUCGUGAGAUGUUGGGUUAAGUCCCGCAACGAGCGCAACCCUUGUCCCUAGUUGCUACGCAAGAGCACUCCAGGGAGACUGCCGGUGACAAACCGGAGGAAGGUGGGGAUGACGUCAAGUCCUCAUGGCCCUUAUGGGUAGGGCUUCACACGUCAUACAAUGGUCGGAACAGAGGGUUGCCAAGCCGCGAGGUGGAGCCAAUCCCAGAAAACCGAUCGUAGUCCGGAUCGCAGUCUGCAACUCGACUGCGUGAAGCUGGAAUCGCUAGUAAUCGCGGAUCAGCAUGCC